GAUGAACGCUAGCUACAGGCUUAACACAUGCAAGUCGAGGGGCAUCAUUAUCGGAGCUUGCUUUGAUAGAUGGCGACCGGCGCACGGGUGAGUAACGCGUAUCCAACCUUCCCCUUAGUAGGGCACAGCCCGGCGAAAGUCGGAUUAAUACUCUAUGUUCUCCUUUGCAGGCAUCUAACGAGGAGCAAAGAUUCAUCGGUAAGGGAUGGGGAUGCGUCUGAUUAGCUUGCCGGCGGGGUAACGGCCCACCGGGGCAACGAUCAGUAGGGGUUCUGAGAGGAAGGUCCCCCACAUUGGUACUGAGACACGGACCAAACUCC
rnacentral:rRNA from 1 species